UUUGAAAUCCGGCCCCCGGCCCGAGUUGUAAUUUGCAGAGGAUGCUUCCGGCGCGGCGCCUUCCGAGUUCCCUGGAACGGGACGCCACAGAGGGUGAGAGCCCCGUCCGGUCGGACGCCAAGCCGGUGUGAAGCUCCUUCGACGAGUCGAGUAGUUUGGGAAUGCUGCUCAAAACGGGAGGUAUAUGUCUUCUAAAGCUAAAUACCGGCCAGAGACCGAUAGCGCACAAGUAGAGUGAUCGAAAGAUGAAAAGCACUUUGGAAAGAGGGUUAAAAAGUACGUGAAAUUGUUGAAAGGGAAGCGCCCGUGACCAGACUCGGGCCCGGCGGAUCACCCGGCGUUCUCGCCGGGGCACUCCGCCGGGCGCGGGCCAGCAUCAGCUCGGCGCGGGGGACAAAGGCUCUGGGAACGUGGCUCCCCCGGGAGUGUUAUAGCCCACCGCGCAGUGCCCCGCGCCGGACUGAUGUACGCGCACCGCAGAGAUGCUGGCGUAAUGGUCACCGGCGACGCGUCUUGAAACACGGACCAGGGAGUCGUCUUCGUAUGCGAGUGUUCGGGUGUCAAACCCCUACGCGGAAUGAAAGUGAACGCAGGUGGGAGCCUCGGCGCACCACCGACCGAUCCCGAUGUUCUCGGACGGAUCUGAGUAGGAGCAUACGGGGCCGGACCCGAAAGAAGGUGAACUAUGCCUGUGUAGGGUGAAGCCAGAGGAAACUCUGGUGGAGGCUCGCAGCGGUUCUGACGUGCGAAUCGAUCGUCAAACAUGGGCAUGGGGGCGAAAGACUAAUCGAACCUUCUAGUAGCUGGUUUC
rnacentral:rRNA from 1 species